GACGAACCGAGCGAACGUUGUUCGGAAUCACUGGGCUUAAAGGGCGCGUAGGCGGGCUGCCGCGUCCGGGGUGAAAUCCCUCGGCUCAACCGAGGAACUGCAUCCGAUACUGGCGGGCUUGAAUCCGGGAGAGGGAUGUGGAAUUCCAGGUGUAGCGGUGAAAUGCGUAGAUAUCUGGAGGAACACCGGUGGCGAAGGCGGCAUCCUGGACCGGUAUUGACGCUGAGGCGCGAAAGCUAGGGGAGCAAACGGGG
rnacentral:rRNA from 1 species